AACAGGGUCAGCCCACGGUUUGGAGCCACAUCAUAUUCACAACAUUCAUUCGAGGUUUUGCUUAAACCCUCUCUACGCCUAUUCUCACCGUCUCUCUCUCUCUCUCCGUUGCUUCUGCAAGAGGCUAGAUUAUCAGAAAAAAAAAAGAUGGAGAAGGUUAUUCAUUUCCCAAAUCACCCUAUUGAGUUUCUCAUGCCACCUUCUUCGAACAAUGGCAGAGAUAUUACAAUCAAAACCAUCCCUUCUGCAUCAAAGCCCGAGAUAAAAAAAUUUCUAGAAUCAGUAUAUUCUUACGAAGUUGAAAAGGUAAGGACACUAAAUAUGAAAGGAAAGAAGAAGAUGAGAGGGGGCCGCUUGAUUGCAAAACCAGAUUACAAGAAGGCUUAUGUAACUCUAAAGAGUCCUGUAUCAUUCUCUCCAGACUUAAAUCCUAUCCGUUUAGUUGAAGAAGAGAGGAAGAGAAUAAAUAAGAAUCAAAAUCAAGCACCAUCAUGGAGUGAGAAAUCUCACUAGCUUCACAGCAAGAAAGUUAUGAGCUGGUUUUUAUUCUUAAAGAUAUAGAGGCAGCACUGGCAUUCAGGCUGAUCCAGACACGGGUGUCAAAGUUUUCAUACUGUAGAAUAUGGCUUAAGAGGCAGUUAGGCUCUUUGGAAAGAUUUUCCUCUGUUUUGUAGUUUAGAUAUCUCUUUUCACUAGGAAUUGGAAAGGAUAAAUGCCCAUCAUCUCUGUUUGAUUACAAGUGCUGAAGACAGCAAGAUUAUUGGCUUAUUGCUUUGGUCAUUUGUGAUUUUGAGGAAGAUUUUCUUAUGGUUUUUAGUUGUCUAUGAGUUAGAAAGUAACUAAAUGUUAUUUCUGUUUGAUUACUGAUAUGGAAGAGAAGGAGGUCAUUGAUU